rnacentral:rRNA from 1 species
AGAGUUUGAUCCUGGCUCAGAUUGAACGCUGGCGGCAUGCCUUACACAUGCAAGUCGAACGGUAACAGCUCUUCGGAGGCUGACGAGUGGCGAACGGGUGAGUAAUACAUCGGAACGUGCCCGAUCGUGGGGGAUAACGGAGCGAAAGCUUUGCUAAUACCGCAUACGAUCUACGGAUGAAAGCAGGGGACCCUCGGGCCUUGCGCGAACGGAGCGGCCGAUGGCAGAUUAGGUAGUUGGUGGGAUAAAAGCUUACCAAGCCGACGAUCUGUAGCUGGUCUGAGAGGACGACCAGCCACACUGGGACUGAAACACGGGCCAGACUCCUACGGGAGGCAGCAGUGAGGAAUUUUGCGCAAUGGGAGCAAUCCUGACGCAGCAACGCCGCGUGGGUGAUGAAGGCCUUCGGGUCGUAAAGCCCUGUCGGGUGGGAAGAAGAGCCCCGGGAUGAAUAAGCCCGGGGAGUGACGGUACCACCAGAGGAAGCACCGGCUAACUCCGUGCCAGCAGCCGCGGUAAUACGGAGGGUGCAAGCGUUAAUCGGAAUUACUGGGCGUAAAGCGUGCGCAGGCGGUUAUAUAAGACAGAUGUGAAAUCCCCGGGCUCAACCUGGGAACUGCAUUUGUGACUGUAUAGCUAGAGUACGGUAGAGGGGGAUGGAAUUCCGCGUGUAGCAGUGAAAUGCGUAGAUAUGCGGAGGAACACCGGUGGCGAAGGCGACUUCCUGGCCCUAUACUGACGCUGAGACGCGAGAGCGUGGGUAGCAAACAGGAUUAGAUACCCUGGUAGUCC